rnacentral:rRNA from 3 species
UACGAAGGUGGCAAGCGUUGUUCGGAUUUACUGGGCGUAAAGGGAGCGUAGGUGGUUAGGUAAGCCCUCCGGGAAAUCUUCAGGCUUAACCUGAAAAGGUCGGGGGGGACUGCCUGGCUAGAGGACGGGAGAGGAGCGCGGAAUUCCCGGUGUAGCGGUGAAAUGCGUAGAGAUCGGGAGGAAGGCCGGUGGCGAAGGCGGCGCUCUGGAACGUUUCUGACACUGAGGCUCGAAAGCGUGGGGAGCAAACAGG